UACGUAGGGUGCGAGCGUUAAUCGGAAUUACUGGGCGUAAAGCGUGCGCAGGCGGUUUUGUAAGCCAGAUGUGAAAUCCCCGGGCUUAACCUGGGAAUGGCAUUUGGGACUGCAAAGCUUGAGUGUGGCAGAGGGGACUGGAAUUCCUGGUGUAGCAGUGAAAUGCGUAGAGAUCAGGAGGAAUACCGAUGGCGAAGGCAGCCCCCUGGGAUAACACUGACGCUCAUGCACGAAAGCGUGGGGAGCAAACAGG
rnacentral:rRNA from 1 species